AUUGAACGCUGGCGGCAGGCCUAACACAUGCAAGUCGAGCGGAUGACGGGAGCUUGCUCCUUGAUUCAGCGGCGGACGGGUGAGUAAUGCCUAGGAAUCUGCCUGGUAGUGGGGACAACGUUUCGAAAGGAACGCUAAUACCGCAUACGUCCUACGGGAGAAAGCAGGGGACCUUCGGGCCUUGCGCUAUCAGAUGAGCCUAGGUCGGAUUAGCUAGUUGGUGGGGUAAUGGCUCACCAAGGCGACGAUCCGUAACUGGUCUGAGAGGAUGAUCAGUCACACUGGAACUGAGACACGGUCCAGACUCCUACGGGAGGCAGCAGUGGGGAUAUUGGACAAUGGGCGAAAGCCUGAUCCAGCCAUGCCGCGUGUGUGAAGAAGGUCUUCGGAUUGUAAAGCACUUUAAGUUGGGAGGAAGGGCAGUAAGCUAAUACCUUGCUGUUUUGACGUUACCGACAGAAUAAGCACCGGCUAACUCUGUGCCAGCAGCCGCCGUAA
rnacentral:rRNA from 1 species